AGCGAACGCUGGCGGCAUGCCUUACACAUGCAAGUCGAACGGCAGCACGGGUGCUUGCACCUGGUGGCGAGUGGCGAACGGGUGAGUAAUACAUCGGAACGUACCUUAUCGUGGGGGAUAACGCAGCGAAAGCUGUGCUAAUACCGCAUACGCCCUGAGGGGGAAAGCGGGGGAUCGCAAGACCUCGCGCGAUUAGAGCGGCCGAUGCCUGAUUAGCUUGUUGGUGGGGUAAAAGCCCACCAAGGCGACGAUCAGUAGCUGGUCUGAGAGGACGAUCAGCCACACUGGGACUGAGACACGGCCCAGACUCCUACGGGAGGCAGCAGUGGGGAAUUUUGGACAAUGGGGGCAACCCUGAUCCAGCAAUGCCGCGUGAGUGAAGAAGGCCUUCGGGUUGUAAAGCUCUUUUGUCAGGGAAGAAACACCGGCUCUAACACAGUCUGGGAAUGACGGUACCUGAAGAAUAAGCACCGGCUAACUACGUGCCAGCCGCCGCAGUAA
rnacentral:rRNA from 1 species